AUAUUGCUCAAUGGGAGAAAUCCUGAAGCAGCAACGCCGCGUGGAGGAUGAAGGGUCUAUGACUUGUAAACUCCUGUAAAGAAGGAAAAAAUCCCCAUUUGAUGGGAGAUGAUGGUACUUCUGGAGUAAGCCCCGGCUAACUACGUGCCAGCAGCCGCGGUAAUACGUAGGGGGCAAGCGUUGUCCGGAUUUACUGGGUGUAAAGGGUGCUCAGGCGGAUUUGUAAGUCAGAGGUGAAAUCUUACAGCUUAACUGUGAAACUGCCUUUGAUACUGCAAGCCUAGAGUAUGGAAGAGAGUGAUGGAAUAUCUGGUGUAGCAGUGAAAUGCGUAGAUAUCAGAUAGAACACCAAUGGCGAAGGCAGUCACUUGGUCCAUUACUGACGCUAAAGCACGAAAGCGUGGGUAGCAAACA
rnacentral:rRNA from 1 species